CAGCAUGCCGCCGGGGGCUCCAUCUACACCCGUUACGGCCGCCGCCUAUCCCCAUUUUCUCGCCGUGCCACCACGCCCUGGACGACGCACCUCCGGCUGCACCAUCAUGGUGGAGGCGCCGCACCGUCUUUGAGAUGCUCCUCCGGCGCUAACUCGAACUGCAGGGCAUCGUCCUUCGAACAGCUGGGCCUCCUGUCCCCUGACCUCCGGCAGGCCAUCGUCUCUGGUUGUCAGCGCGACUCAUGGGCAGGAGUCCUCCACAAAACAUGCGUAGGCUGCUGCUCUUCUCUGCUUUCUCUCUCUCUCUCUCUCUCAUGUGAUGUGCUCCUAUGUGAUUUUUUUUUGCCAUAUUGCCAAAAUGAGUGAAAUUUAUGCUGUUCUUUGUGUGAAAUGAAGAUGCCUAUGACAGUGGCAAUUUUCAAUACCUUGAAUAGUUCAAGUACAUAAGAAAUACAAGUACAUUCUGCAAAAACAAACAGUAGAUGCAAAAUUUUCAUUUUUGCUAAAUUAUGCAAGUGGUAAUGAUAUGUGUUUCUUUUGUGGUGAAGAUUUCGGCAGUAAACUAUGCAAAAUUUUACACAAGUACUGAAGUCCAACUUGAAAACUAAUAGCAGUUCAUUAGUGCAAACAUGCAUCAAAUAAAAAAAGCAAACCUGACCUGAAAGCAAUUUCACAUCCGGUGGUUUAUUUCAUAGCUCAUCUUUACUAAUAUAAGCCCAUGCUUGUGUCCCCAAUCUAGUUCUUUACUCUAUAGUUCCAUGUGUAUUAAAAUAAGUUCAAUUUGUGUUAAAUAAACAAGUUUAGCAUUAUAUAAUAUAGCAAAAUCACUACAUGGGAAUUUGGCAAGUAGUUCCACGAAAAGGUUUAUGACAGUUUAGACUCAAACAAGGCAUGGAUCCAGGAUGGGCAACAUCCUACCGGCACCUGAUGCCUAUCUCACCUGUGCGGUUCCCGCAGCUGUAGCACUUUUGCUCCACGCGACCACUGGUCGAUGCCCCGUCUGCUGCUACUUCUCCUCUCCCUUGCUCCCUGUGCUGCAACUCCUCCCCUGCCCUCUCAUGGCGAAUACCACAGAAAACAGUCAUGGGGAUGUGCUGCCCUCAGUUCUCUCUCGACAAAUCCAGCAGUGCAGGUUCUCCGGUGCAACAAGUAUUGCCGGCAGCGAUGCCUGCAUCAUGGCCCAUUGAGGAGAUGCAAUUUUUCUGAUGCACAUUUAUUUCUUUAGUUUUGUGUUCUUUUGUUUGCCCCAGUUGAUCCUUCUUUUAAUGCUUCUAUGUUGUGCAAUUCUGAUCCCUUUGUGAAGUGAAAAAAGGAGCUAAGCACUUGUUUGGAAAGUUUGCAAGUUCGAACACAUAAACCUAAAAGAAGUUCAUUGAAAAAGUUUGGUUUUGUUAAAAAAUGUGUUUUUGGUGGGAACAUCACUAAGGAACAUAGAACUUCUCGAAUCUUCUUCUCUGUAAAUAUAUAACUAUGGUAGAUGCAAUCCUAUGCAACUAUCUUUUCCUACAUGCACGUUCUGGUAAUCAUCUUCAACCAAUUUUGUAUGUAUCGGACUUGCAUAUGUUGGUUAGUAGGGUAGAUCUGUGUUGUAUAAGAAGCUAGAUGUUGACUUGCAAUUAUGCUGUGACAACAUUUUCAGUCAUCUUGAGUCUAUUGCCUAUAUCAAUUAAGAUCUUUUUUCUUGUUGGUCCAGUAGAUGUCCCGCAAUGAGCCAAGACAGGGGAGUUGUUGGACGCUACCGUCUUCGCCGGCCGUCACGAUGUGAGCAGCUAUGCCCAUUGCUCACCGUUGGUUGUCGGCCAUUCUUCUUCACCACCUCCUGAAGGUCAGCUUCUGGUACAUGGGAAUGGAACACCAGAUGAAGCAAAAUUGAGUGAUCAUUGGGAUGGAACACCCACAGCCGUAACUACAACUCUCUCUGUCUUCUCAAAGAUUGACUGUGUUUGUGCUGCUACGUCUCUCUCUACUAAUUGGUGUGAUUAAAUUUAUGUUUUGAUCGUUGGAUCCUCAUUUGUUAAAUCUAGCAUGCAGAAAAGUUUAGAAAAGGAGGCCCGAACAAAUUGGGUGCACUCUACCUUUUUGUUCUUAUGCUUGGUAAACCUUGUUCAGUUUGCGUUGGAGAACUUGUACUAUUCCUGGUGCUCUCAAGCUAUAUGUUUAUAUGCCUAAAAAGAACUUCAAUCAUCCUUUUGAUGUUUCUUUAUUGUCAAAUAGAAGCUAAAUAGUCUGGACAUAUGCAGUAAUAACAUUUCUUAUGGAGCAGUACACAUAUUUAGAAAUUUAAUGUAGUUACAAAACAUGAAUUCUCAUUCCCAAAAACCUGCAAAAAAACAUCAAUUUAUAUAUUGACAUCUGCUGCCGGUCCUUUUCUUGUGUGUUCAGUUCGACAUAUGGUGGUUCUCCAGAUCAACAUUGUGUGCUUUUUCAAUUCAUCUUGCAGGUGAAAAAGGAGCUCCCUUUUAGUUCAAAUGGAUCCAAAAAAUGGGUGCUGCAUUACAGUUCAAGACCAUUCUGUUGGUUUAGGCUGCAUCUUGCUAGUUUGGGAAACAUUUUUUGCAUCUACUUGCGGAUGUCUUCCAUUUUGUGCUCCAUGGGUGUUUGUUCUUAUUCCUGAAAGAAAGAAAAUAAUCUAUUGCAU
rnacentral:lncRNA from 1 species